rnacentral:rRNA from 1 species
AUUGAACGCUGGCGGCAUGCCUUACACAUGCAAGUCGAACGGUAACAGGUCUUCGGAUGCUGACGAGUGGCGAACGGGUGAGUAAUACAUCGGAACGUGCCCGAUCGUGGGGGAUAACGAGGCGAAAGCUUUGCUAAUACCGCAUACGAUCUACGGAUGAAAGCGGGGGAUCUUCGGACCUCGCGCGGACGGAGCGGCCGAUGGCAGAUUAGGUAGUUGGUGGGAUAAAAGCUUACCAAGCCGACGAUCUGUAGCUGGUCUGAGAGGAUGAUCAGCCACGCUGGGACUGAGACACGGCCCAGACUCCUACGGGAGGCAGCAGUGGGGAAUUUUGGACAAUGGGCGAAAGCCUGAUCCAGCCAUGCCGCGUGCAGGAUGAAGGCCUUCGGGUUGUAAACUGCUUUUGUACGGAACGAAAAGCCUCUUUCUAAUAAAGAGGGGUCAUGACGGUACCGUAAGAAUAAGCACCGGCUAACUACGUG